GAUGAACGCUGGCGGCGUGCCUAAUACAUGCAAGUCGAGCGAACAGAUGAGGAGCUUGCUCCUCUGACGUUAGCGGCGGACGGGUGAGUAACACGUGGAUAACCUACCUAUAAGACUGGGAUAACUUCGGGAAACCGGAGCUAAUACCGGAUAAUAUAUUGAACCGCAUGGUUCAAUAGUGAAAGACGGUUUUGCUGUCACUUAUAGAUGGAUCCGCGCCGCAUUAGCUAGUUGGUAAGGUAACGGCUUACCAAGGCAACGAUGCGUAGCCGACCUGAGAGGGUGAUCGGCCAAACUGGAAAUGAGACACGGUCCAGACCCCUAAGGGAGGCAGCAGUAGGGAAUCUUCCGCAAUGGGCGAAAGCCUGACGGAGCAAUGCCGCGUGAGUGAUGAAGGUUUUCGGAUCGUAAAACUCUGUUAUUAGGGAAGAACAAAUGUGUAAGUAAAUAUGCACGUCUUGACGGUACCUAAUCAGAAAGCCACGGCUAACUACGUG
rnacentral:rRNA from 1 species